AUCUGUUAACGUCUUACUUGGGCAGGAUUAGAAUGAUUAUUUGUAUGUCUAAUACUGUCAGGUAAUGAUGUCCUCAGAU